rnacentral:rRNA from 1 species
GUAGUCUCGCACAGAUGCAUAUCAAUAAGCGGAGGAAAAGAAACUAACAAGGAUUCCCCUAGUAACGGCGAGUGAAGCGGGAAGAGCUCAAAUUUGAAAUCUUAAAGGGCUUCCCUUUACGAAUUGUAGUUUAAAGAAGUGUUUUCUGUUGAGGUUUUGGUAAAAGUUCUUUGGAAUAGGACAUCAUAGAGGGUGAGAAUCCCGUAUUUGACCUUUACUUUCAACUUUGUGAUACAGCUUUCAAAGAGUCGGAUUGUUUGGGAAUGCAGUCCAAAAUGGGUGGUAAAUUUCAUCUAAAGCUAAAUAUUGGCGAGAGACCGAUAGCGAACAAGUACCGUGAGGGAAAGAUGAAAAGAACUUUGAAAAGAGAGUUAAACAGUACGUGAAAUUGUCAAAAGGGAAGCGUUUGACACCAGUGUUGUUUUUCUGAAAAUCAAUUAAAGAACUGUUUAUGCUAAGCUGUUUAGACUUUAUCAGCUAUCUGUUUAGUUUUGAGCUUUUCUUUAAUGCACUUUUCAGUUAACAAGUCAACAUCAAUUUCCUUUUGCUGUAAAAAAGCUUGAGGAAGGUGGCUUGAGAUUCGUCUUAAGUGUUUAUAGCCUCUUGCCUAUGCAGUCGGAGAGAUUGAGGUCUGCAGCGUAGAUCCUUCGGGGCUAAAUGCAUUUGUGCUAAGUUAUAACAUUUUAUAGACAACUUGUUGACUAUGAUUUGUCUUGUAGCUUACUCGCUUAUGUUAUUUUACCUACGCUUAGGAUGUUGACAGCAGUAUAGACUGU